rnacentral:rRNA from 1 species
GACGAACGCUGGCGGCGUGCUUAACACAUGCAAGUCGAACGGAAAGGCCCUGCUUUUGUGGGGUGCUCGAGUGGCGAACGGGUGAGUAACACGUGAGUAACCUGCCCUUACUUUGGGAUAACUUCAGGAAACUGGGGCUAAUACCGGAUAGGAGCUCCUGCUGCAUGGUGGGGGUUGGAAAGUUUCGGCGGUUGGGGAUGGACUCGCGGCUUAUCAGCUUGUUGGUGGGGUAGUGGCUUACCAAGGCUUUGACGGGUAGCCGGCCUGAGAGGGUGACCGGCCACAUUGGGACUGAGAUACGGCCCAGACUCCUACGGGAGGCAGCAGUGGGGAAUAUUGCACAAUGGGCGGAAGCCUGAUGCAGCAACGCCGCGUGCGGGAUGACGGCCUUCGGGUUGUAAACCGCUUUCGCCUGUGACGAAGCGUGAGUGACGGUAAUGGGUAAAGAAGCACCGGCUAACUACGUG